GCCAGCAGCCGCGGUAAUACGGAGGGUGCAAGCGUUAUCCGGAUUUAUUGGGUUUAAAGGGUCCGUAGGCGGAUCUGUAGUCAGUGGUGAAAUCUCACAGCUUAACUGUGAAACUGCCAUUGAUACUGCAGGUCUUGAGUGUUGUUGAAGUAGCUGGAAUAAGUAGUGUAGCGGUGAAAUGCAUAGAUAUUACUUAGAACACCAAUUGCGAAGGCAGGUUACUAAGCAACAACUGACGCUGAUGGACGAAAGCGUGGGGAGCGAACAGGAUUAGAUACCCUGGUAGUCCACGCCGUAAACGAUGCUAACUCGUUUUUGGGCUUUCGGGUUCAGAGACUAAGCGAAAGUGAUAAGUUAGCCACCUGGGGAGUACGAACGCAAGUUUGAAACUCAAAGGAAUUGACGGGGGCCCGCACAAGCGGUGGAUUAUGUGGUUUAAUUCGAUGAUACGCGAGGAACCUUACCAAGGCUUAAAUGGGAAAUGACAGGCUUAGAAAUAGGCUUUUCUUCGGACAUUUUUCAAGGUGCUGCAUGGUUGUCGUCAGCUCGUGCCGUGAGGUGUUAGGUUAAGUCCUGCAACGAGCGCAACCCCUGUCACUAGUUGCCAUCAUUAAGUUGGGGACUCUAGUGAGACUGCCUACGCAAGUAGAGAGGAAGGUGGGGAUGACGUCAAAUCAUCACGGCCCUUACGCCUUGGGCCACACACGUAAUACAAUGGCCGGUACAGAGGGCAGCUACACUGCGAAGUGAUGCAAAUCUCGAAAGCCGGUCUCAGUUCGGAUUGGAGUCUGCAACUCGACUCUAUGAAGCUGGAAUCGCUAGUAAUCGCGCAUCAGCCAUGGCGCGGUGAAUACGUUCCCGGGCCUUGUACACACCGCCCGUCAAGCCAUGGAAGUCUGGGGUACCUGAAGUCGGUGACCGUAACAGGAGCUGCC
rnacentral:rRNA from 1 species